CCAUCGGCCAAGCAAGACUUGAUCAUAUCCCAGACCAGAAGGUAUAAGAAUUAAUAAGUAGAUUAAAGUGAUACUAUAUGGACAUUAAGAUGCUCAAUGAUUGAUCACUGAGGCAUCAGGAGGAAUCCGAUAAUUCUUAGAAUUUUGUGCAAACUUACUCUCUCCCUCUCUUUUGUAAGCUUUUUAAAGGUGUGUCUGUAUCUCAUUUCUAUUAUCCCCACAGCCAAGCACUACAAUGGAUGUGAAAUAAAUGUUCAACAAAUGUUGAAUUGAUAAAUAAACACCACACUUGCUGAUGAAGCUGGAGGCUCUCAUUUGAUAGCAGAGGAUAAAGAGCAGAAGAAAAGCAGGUCAGUAAGCUGUAGUGCUCUCAACUGUUACUUCAUAGAAAAGGAAACAAAUUUAGAGUUGUUUGGAACAGUGGUGUUGAUGUUUUCUUAGGUCUCAUGGACACGGCAAUGAGUCCUGACAUGGGGUGGGAGACCAUCUAUUUACAAUCGGCACUCAACAUAAGCCUUUUAAAGUUUUCUGCGGAAGCCGAGAUGAAGUAAAAAUAGCACCGUAUUAUUCUAAGUCUGACUGAUGGGAACAGUUGCAUAAAGGUUUCUUGUUAAGCGCAUCAAACGUUACCCUUUGUGUGACUUUGGUUUAGCUUGCUAGUCUGAUUAAAUUCCAUUCACCAGCAAAGGAAGAGAUUGGUAUUUAUAUGUCUGAAGCUGAUCUGAGUCUGGCUGUCCUAGACAAUGUGGAUAUUUCUGGAGAGAGAGGGAGAGAAAAGCCAGGGUUUAUCCACUUGGUUUAUUAAUGGUCACCAAGAACAAACAGAUACUGUGUAAGGUUUAGUAGAUCUGCCUGCGUCUGAGCUGUUUUACAUCAGCUUUUUUUUCUUUCCUGGAUUUAUAAAGAUUUGCACAGUCAUAUGCCAAAGCAUUUUUUUUUUCUUUAAGAAAGGAAGAGCAGAGUCUGAGUUCAGGCCUAAGGGGGCCUUCAUGGGUGAGUCCUUGGGCUCUUAAUAUAGCCCUUGUACAUCUUUCCUGGCUGCUCAGGAAACUCUUUAUCCUUGAGGAUUCUUGUUGGAUAAGUGAGGUCUUACUGAUAAGUGUUGGAAACUCCUCAAAAACUCAUACUUAUGUGCAUGAAAGAUAGAAGCC
rnacentral:lncRNA from 1 species